CCUACGGGUGGCAGCAGUGAGGAAUAUUGGUCAAUGGCCGGAAGGCUGAACCAGCCAAGUCGCGUGAGGGAAUAAGGCCCUAUGGGUCGUAAACCUCUUUUGUCAGGGAGCAAAGGCGUCAACGAGUGGACAAAAGGAGAGUACCUGAAGAAAAAGCCUCGGCUAACUCCGUGCCCGCAGCCGCGGUUAUACGGAGGAUGCGAGUGUUAUCCGUAUUUAUUGGGUUUAAAGGGUGCGCAGGCGGUCUUGUAAGUCAGCGGUCAAAGCCUGGGGCUAAACCCCGGCCCGCCGUUGAAACUGGCGUUCUAGAGUGUGAGAGAAGUAUGCGGAAUGCGCGGUGUAGCGGUGAAAUGCAUAGAUAUCGCGCAGAACUCCGAUUGCGAAGGCAGCAUGCCGGUUCCACACUGACGCUGAGGCACGAAAGCGUGGGUAUCGAACAGGAUUAGAUACCCUUGUAGUC
rnacentral:rRNA from 1 species